rnacentral:lncRNA from 1 species
AGGGGGUGUUUGGAUACGAGGUGCUAAACUUUAAUAGUGUCACAUCGAAUGUUCGGAUCCUAAUUAGAAAAAUUAAACAUAAGCUAAUUAUAAAAUUAAUUGCAGAACCCUGUGCUAAUUCGCGAGACGAAUCUAUUAAGCCUAAUUAAUUCACCAUUAGCAAAUGGUUACUGUAGCACCACAUUAUCAAAUCAUGGACUGAUUAGGCUUAAUAGAUUCGUCUCGCGAAUUACACUCCAACUGUGCAAUUAGUUUUGUAAUCAGUCUAUAUUUAAUACUUCUAAUUAGCAUCCAAACAUCCGAUGUGACAGGUGUUAAACUUUAAUAGGGUGGAGCCAAACAGGC